rnacentral:lncRNA from 10 species
CAGUCUCUGCCAGGAGGGUGCUACGUUCUCUCUGCUCCAACCUGUGGGCCAUUGCGCAGCACAGCUAUGUUUUCAGCACAUACCUUGGCAAGACUUCUCAUCUGUUAAUAAUUUAAAUCCUUUCUUGCAGCCGCAGUCAAAACUGCCCACGAUGUUUUUGCAGAAAUGAUCACAACCUCCAUUGCGGGUCUGGCACUCAUCAAUAUCUGCAACAGGAAAGCAUUGGGCAUAUCAGAGAGCAAUACUUGCCUCAUUUCCCACAACUCCCUGAAGGGCCAUUGUGUGUGUUCAUUAGUCUCUGAAAUUAAGAAAAAGACUCACAAAAGCAUUUAAGAAUGUUUGCUGAUGUUUUUAACCUUAUACAUGUUUUCUUAUCUGGCUUAACCAGUUUUGAAAGACAAGUGUUUCAUCGUCUUGAGAACGCUGACUUAUGAUGCCCUUGAUUGGCAUUAAGGAAACAAACUCUGGGAAAGAAUGAUGACGUCCUGUUAUAUUCUCAUCUUUGUAUUGCUCUCUCAAGGGCACCCAGUCUCCCUGGGGAGGUGAAGGCUACCUUUACAUGUCUUCCCAUCCAACUGGAGAGUGAAUCCAACAGGACAACUGCAGUGGACACCUGUCGAAGUAUCCUUACAGGUGCGGUCACAGCCUCCAUUGUUGACAGCACACGUUUCUGGCAAGGAGAAAUAUGGGGGAGGAGGAGCCAGAAGAAGAAACAGCUCGAAGAAUUGACUAUUGUUGCCUCUGGCAAAUGGGAUGAGGAAAUGGGAAGUUAUGAGACAAGGAAAUGAUGAGUUUCAUUACAAGCCUAGAAGUAAUUAAGCGUUUAUGUUACUCAUUUGUACUAUUUUCACUUAAGACAAUGAAAAUUUAUAAUUUCUAAAGAGCAGAAAAGAGCUCGGAAAGGUUACCUGCUUGGUAACCAAUGGCUGUAUGAUAUGUUGCCUGACUGUUAAAUCCAGAAACUGUCAAAAGAUGGGUUUUGUUUAGGUUGAGCCAGACUUUCUCCAGAAGGAGUAACGCACCAAAGGAUCUGUCUGACUCCCACCCCCAUGACCACCUCUAUUUCUGCUCAUCUCCAGCUUGACCGCUGGACCUUCAGGCAGGUCUUCCCUUGUCCCACAGCCAAGUGUUGCCCCUCUCCAUUCAUCUCUUCUACUAUUAUCAUCAGCUGAGUCAGAAAUAGAAGACUCAGUGGACACAAAAAAAGACUAGCUGCCAUUCUGAGCUAGAGGCUGCUUCAGAGGAAGACAGCUGACUUCACUGACCACCCACUCAGUCCCAGGCACUGGACUCUGGGCACCUUUCCAUAUUAUUAUCUUAAUUGAGCAUCCCAACUGAUAUGGCCAGGCUUUAUGUCCCCACUCAAAUCUCAUCCUGAAUUAUAAUCCCCAUAAUCCCCUCGUGUCAAGGGAGAGACCAGGUGGAGGUGAUUGGAUUAUGGGGGCGGUUCCCAUGCUGUUCUCAUGAUAGAGUGAGAUCAUGAGAUCUCAUGGUUUUACAAGUGUUUGGUAGUUCCUCCUGCAUUUAUUCUCCUUCCUGCCACCUUGUGAAGAAGGUACCUUGCUUCCCCUUUGCCUUCCACCAUGAUUAUAAGUUUCCUGAGGCCUCCCCAGCCAUGUGGAACUGUGAGUCAAUUAAGCCUCUUUCUUUAUCAAUUACCCAGUCUCAGGCAGUUCUUUACAGCAGUAUGAAAAUGGGCGAAUACCCUGGCCCUAAGAGGUAGACUUUAUUACAUCCAUUUCAAAGAAAGACCAAGAGACAGAGCCUCAGGGCAGUUUGCCAAGUCUUACAGCUAGGUGGGGGCUGCAUUGGGACGUUAACCUGAUUAUUCUGAUGGACACGAGACCAAGGGUCUUGCUUGGUUGGUGAUUAAGCAACAGCACUGGUGAAGAACAGACACACACCCUGGUUCACAGGAGCUGCUCACCCCAGUCCAGCUGGUCUGAGGGCAUGUGGCUCCCAAGUUCAGGUCUGAUGCAAUAAGUUGGGGAGGGAAAAGGACAAUUGCAGUGGCCAAGGAAAGGGAGUGAAGGUGCCUACCCAUGAGCAGCCGCCGUUUCACCCGUUUAUCCCCAUCCACCACUGAUGUGGUGUUGCUCUCUGUCACCUCCAGGACAGUGUCCUCUCGCUCUACAAGAGAAGCAAAAGAGCACGGUUCUCAGACUGAAUGAGUUAGAUUGCUCAUCCCCAUACAACUGUGUUUGCUGAAAUCCCAGACAUAAGAGGAAUGAAAGAUAUGUGACUCUGUUCACGCAAUAAAAAUGUGUUGUAAUGAGGCUCUGUGGGAGACACAGCCCGUUAAAGGGCCACAGAUCCUUAGCAAACAUUAAACAUGGAAAAGAUUUUGGAGGUAUAUUGCACUGACCAAAGAGACACUAGGGAAUGCAAGCUUCAGUCCCCUGAGUCGAGGAGAAAAAGAGCCUUGGGCCUGGAAACCUCUAAAAUGGAGCUAGUGAAGGACACACCGUGAAGGGCAAGGCAGGCAUCCCGCCAGAAAUAUACGGCCCUGGCUCCUGCUGGCCAGAAGUGCCGCAUCAUUAUAAACAGCUCUAACUUCGUGCUGCCCUGGCCUCCUGGGAGGUGUUGUGCCAGUCUCUGGAAUACCAGCGUUAGGAGCAGCCUAGUCCAGGAGAGGAGGAAGGGCUUCCCAAGGUCACACAGGGAGAGAGGGGCCUUCCCCACAGGCCUAGACCACUCCCACUGUAGCAUGCGAAGCAGCACAGGGCCUGCUGGGGGGGCAAAUGCACAGGAAACAGCCUGCAUCUGUGCUAAACACCAUUAAGGGGUAGGGGUAGGGACAGGCAGGCUGGUGCAGACCCUCACUCAGUGUUGGGGUUGCCACUCACCAAGGCAGCUCCUCCCAUCUGUGUGCAUCUUGUACUGUGGAUGGCAGCUGCACUCUGGGCCAUCGGCUGUAUCGUCACAGGAGUGCUGGCACCCACCGUUCCCAUGGUUACAGGUCACUGACAGCAAAAUGAAUCAAUACAUAAAGCACUGAGAUUUCCACAAACACAGGGCUGUGUUUGCUCCAGAGAAAUUCUGAUUUUCAUUCUGCAAGUAUUUGAGCACCUAGUGCAUGCCAGGCAUGGUGCACGAAAGACAUAACUCCAAGUCAGACCCUGUGGUGUCUGUGUAUGCAGAUAGUUACAAUACAAAUUGUAGAAAUGCUGAAACAUGGGUUUAAACAAAGUCAUACAGGAAGAGGGAGAUGGGAGAGUUGGGGGAGAGACUUUUAUUAUAUAAGGGAGAUUAUACCAAGAGAUUCUAGACUACUGCUUUGUUCUAUCUAGAGAAGUU